GACGAACGCUGGCGGCGUGCUUAACACAUGCAAGUCGAACGGAGUGGCGAACGGGUGAGUAACACGUGGGUGACCUGCCCUGCACUUCGGGAUAAGCCUGGGAAACUGGGUCUAAUACCGGAUAGUGUGGGAUGGGCCCGCGGCCUAUCAGCUUGUUGGUGGGGUAAUGGCCUACCAAGGCGGCGACGGGUAGCCGCCCUGAGAGGGUGGACGGCCGCUGUGGGCCUGAUCCACGGCCCAGAGUCCUACGGGAGGCAGCAGUGGGGACUAUUGCACCAUGGGCGCAAGCCUGAUGCAGCCCUGCCGCGUGUAUUAAGAAGGCCUUAGGGUUGUAAAGUCCUUUCAGCGGUGAGGAGGUUAAUACCCUUGUCAAUUGACGUACCCGCAGAAGAAGCACCGGUACUCGUGCCAGCCGCCGCGGUAAUAC
rnacentral:rRNA from 1 species